rnacentral:lncRNA from 1 species
UCUUUUUCCCGUCUCUAGUCCAUAUUCCUUAUUCACUAGGAUCCUUACAAAUCACAGCUAAAGAGAGUAAAUUUCGAUAUACAUGCAUCUGAGUUUGUUGACCCAAUCAUUUCUUCACGCAUGCAUAGCCAAAUGGGCCAAUUCCCGGCUCAACCUUGUCUUGGCCGUUCAUAAAGGGACAAAUACAAGAAUCCUGUUUUGCAGCCCCAGGGAACAGUGCCUCUCAAUCUAGGACUUCUCAUUGUUCUACUUACCUUAUUUGUUCCGUUUUUUCUUUCUUCUCCUGCAUCAUAAAUUCAUAAUAUCAAAUUUCAUAAGACAGACAUAUUUCAGGGUGGUUAUUGUGGAUCAAUUAUUCUGCUAUAUUUAUGUGGUUCUACUUCCAUGAUGAUGAAUUUUUAAAUCAUAAGCUUUUGUUAUCCUCAUUUUCUAGCAUUCCAUUAGUCUAGUUUUAGGCAGAUUUGAAGUUUUUCCUUGCAUAAGGCCAAUCAGAGUUGAAACAAUGCUUUUUUAGUUUCUGAUGUUUAAUUGUUUCUCUGCGCCUUACAGCUUGCUGGUUCGAUUAGACAUAAAAUGAUCCCCAGAGCUACUGUAUUGCUGGUUUAUUAUGAAAGCAGAUUUGGUCACUGGUGGCUGUGCCAGAACUUACGCCCCACACGAAUGCAGGUCAUAUUAAUAUAUCAAUUCUAAUGUUAUAUCCCUUGUUCCUUGAUGUAAUCACUUUCUUCAUUGUAAAACAGAAUUUAUGGGAGAAAAAAAUCAACUUUGCAAUUUGUAGAUAGUAGAAAUGGGUCUCUGGGCCUUGUUUAUUUGAAGCUGAUGUCCGACCCUUGUUAUACUUUUUCUUCAGUAAAAAAAUUCCAGUUUUAGGGUGGAUUUCUUUCAUGAAGGUUGCAAAUAAUGUGCUAGACUUGUUUUACUUAUCUCCCUAGUGAUAAUUGGUUUGAAUCUUAAACACACUCAACAAAAUUCCAAAUCAUAUUUGCUUAAUAUGGAUGUGAUUUUUACUCUUUGAAGGUGUCUGCCAAAGGUACCAAGAACUUGAUUUCAUAAAAUAUCAGUACUUUGAAGCUAAAAACAUCCAGACUUUAAAGUGAUAGUUUUUUUUUCCCGAAAUCACGAGAUAACAAGACAAAAUGGAAGCAAAAGCAGAUAACAUUACAUCUGAGGAAAUAAUAAUAUCGUCGUUGUUGCAGUCUUGUCCAUUUGCAUGAAGCUAGUUCUAUUCAAAACCCAGAUCAAAGAACACAAACUUGUUCCAAGCAUAAAACAUUCAACCGUAGUUUACAGUUGGUAAUUGAGGGUGUUGUCCUGGGGGGCAGGUGUGAAAUUCCAUUUUCUGAGAAGAAAACUUUCUUUGCCCAAACAACCUGUAUCAGAAACCUAGUGGCCAUGCCACGGGGUGAAUUUAAAAGCUGGAUUGUGGUAAACCCUGAUAUUCUUCCUCUCCUCUAUCUAUCUCCAGUCUGUCACUUAAAGCAAUGCAGCAUUUAUUCAAGUCUUCUUAUUGUGUCAUUUCCCCCCAAUCAAUGGUGAUAGUGGAAAAAACAAGAAGGUUCCUGGAAAUGGUUGGAGAAUCAAAAUGCAAAUUUCCAUUACCAGUAAAACGAAUAAUCUCUAUACUUGGAUUGAAAAGAAUAGAGAGAAAAUGAAGAUAAAAGAGCUGGGGCCAUUGGGGCUCAACAAAAGUCACCACAAUUACCUUGUUAAAAGGUACCUAUCAUGAACCUGGAUCUAAAUUACAGUCAUAAUAAUAAUUCCAAAAUGGGAUAAGGUGAAAAAGUUAAAUAAAAAAAGAGGGAGGAAAAAAAUGGAGGAGGCAGAGCCAGGGAAGAGGCAGUGCAUGGGCGGAGAAACAACAGAAUCAGUUGGUAGAUCCAUCCAUGCUCAGCCUGUUCCCUGUCUUUGUCUGUCUCUCCCAUCUUUCUCACUCUCUCUCAAUAUUGACUGUUACCUCAUCUUGUUUUGCCUCUGUUGGAAUGCCCCCAAAGAAACCUGCCACACUGAUGUCUAUGGCUCUAUGCUCUCAUCUGAGCUAUUUAAGCUAAACCCCCCAAUAACGUUUACAGUACAACUUGUACUAAACGGACCCUGUACUACAG